CCUAGCCUUAAGGAUGGGGAUAACAGACGGAAACGACUGCUAAUACCGAAUACGUUCUAAGCAUCGCAUGAUGCAUAGAAGAAAGGGUGGCCUCUACAAGAAAGCUAUCGCCUUAAGAGGGGUUUGCGACUGAUUAGGUAGUUGGUGAGGCAACGGCUCACCAAGCCGACGAUCAGUAGCCGGUCUGAGAGGAUGAACGGCCACACUGGAACUGAGACACGGUCCAG
rnacentral:rRNA from 1 species